GCCAUUAUGGUGGAUACAACCCUCGGCUUGUAACUGAGUGGCCUCGGGUUCGAAUCCCGAAUGAGGCA